rnacentral:rRNA from 1 species
UUGAGGAGGGUGACGGGCGGUGUGUGCGCAUUUUAGAGCUUUUUUCAUAUAAUUCCUCUAUAGCUUAUAUUACUAUCAAAUCCUUUUUCUUUUGUUUUUUCAAUUCAAAUUCCUCUAUUAUUAAGUAUGGUAGCUCAUCUAUCCCCAUUCCAUUGGCUGCACCUUGAUCUGACGUUGAGGUUGUUUACCUUUUAGAUCACUUUCUUUGUCGAGGUGAACUGACGACGAUGGUAUACAGACUGGUGAUGUACUAGGAUUGGUGAGGUUCCUUGUGGGUUAUCAAUUUGAUGACAAGCUCCUCUGAGUAGGUCUAAAAAACCGCCAAGUUCUUUAAGUUUUAGCUUUUGGCCGUACUUCUCUGGUGUUUAAGUUUUUACUAAUAGGUAUAGUGGGGUAUCUAAUCCCAGA